rnacentral:rRNA from 1 species
UGGGGAAUUUUGGACAAUGGGCGAAAGCCUGAUCCAGCAAUGCCGCGUGUGUGAAGAAGGCCUUCGGGUUGUAAAGCACUUUUGUCCGGAAAGAAAUCCUUGGCUCUAAUACAGUCGGGGGAUGACGGUACCGGAAGAAUAAGCACCGGCUAACUACGUGCCAGCAGCCGCGGUAAUACGUAGGGUGCAAGCGUUAAUCGGAAUUACUGGGCGUAAAGCGUGCGCAGGCGGUUUGCUAAGACCGAUGUGAAAUCCCCGGGCUCAACCUGGGAACUGCAUUGGUGACUGGCAGGCUAGAGUAUGGCAGAGGGGGGUAGAAUUCCACGUGUAGCAGUGAAAUGCGUAGAGAUGUGGAGGAAUACCGAUGGCGAAGGCAGCCCCCUGGGCCAAUACUGACGCUCAUGCACGAAAGCGUGGGGAGCAAACAGGAUUAGAUACCCUGGUAGUCCACGCCCUAAACGAUGUCAACUAGUUGUUGGGGAUUCAUUUCCUUAGUAACGUAGCUAACGCGUGAAGUUGACCGCCUGGGGAGUACGGUCGCAAGAUUAAAACUCAAUGAAUUGACGGGGUCAUAGCUGUUUCC